AUUGAACGCUGGCGGCAGGCUUAACACAUGCAAGUCGAGCGGAGAUGAGGUGCUUGCACCUUAUCUUAGCGGCGGACGGGUGAGUAAUGCUUAGGAAUCUGCCUAUUAGUGGGGGACAACAUUCCGAAAGGAAUGCUAAUACCGCAUACGUCCUACGGGAGAAAGCAGGGGAUCUUCGGACCUUGCGCUAAUAGAUGAGCCUAAGUCGGAUUAGCUAGUUGGUGGGGUAAAGGCCUACCAAGGCGACGAUCUGUAGCGGGUCUGAGAGGAUGAGCCGCCACACUGGGACGGAGACACGGCCCAGACUCCUACGGGAGGCAGCAGUGGGGAAUAUUGGACAAUGGGGGGAACCCUGAUCCAGCCAUGCCGCGUGUGUGAAGAAGGCCUUAUGGUUGUAAAGCACUUUAAGCGAGGAGGAGGCUACUGAGACUAAUACUCUUGGAUAGUGGACGUUACUCGCAGAAUAAGCACCGGCUAACUCUGUGCCAGCCGCCGCAGUAAUAC
rnacentral:rRNA from 1 species